AGCAAAGGCAUCAUUGAGUGCAGCGUUGAUGAGCCAGCUGGCCGGCCAGCCGUGCGUCCGCCGCCGGCGCCGGCCACGGCUCACCGGCGCUGCACUCAAUUACGCCUUUG
rfam:Sorghum bicolor cultivar BTx623 chromosome 4, whole genome shotgun sequence.